rnacentral:rRNA from 1 species
UACGUAGGGUGCAAGCGUUAAUCGGAAUUACUGGGCGUAAAGCGUGCGCAGGCGGUUUUGUAAGUCUGACGUGAAAGCCCCGGGCUCAACCUGGGAAUUGCGUUGGAGACUGCAAGGCUCGAAUCUGGCAGAGGGGGGUAGAAUUCCACGUGUAGCAGUGAAAUGCGUAGAGAUGUGGAGGAACACCGAUGGCGAAGGCAGCCCCCUGGGUCAAGAUUGACGCUCAUGCACGAAAGCGUGGGGAGCAAACAGG